rnacentral:rRNA from 1 species
CCUACGGGGGGCAGCAGUGGGGAAUAUUGCACAAUGGGGGAAACCCUGAUGCAGCGACGCCGCGUGAAGGAAGAAGUAUCUCGGUAUGUAAACUUCUAUCAGCAGGGAAGAAAAUGACGGUACCUGACUAAGAAGCUCCGGCUAAAUACGUGCCAGCAGCCGCGGUAAUACGUAUGGAGCAAGCGUUAUCCGGAUUUACCGGGUGUAAAGGGAGCGCAGGCGGCAUGGCAAGUCUGAUGUGAAAGGCCAGGGCUCAACCCUGGUACUGCAUUGGAAACUGU